rnacentral:lncRNA from 1 species
CUAGAACAUCCUCUCAGAACUGCAGAGGACUGAGUGAUUUCACAGCUGCUGCUGUCUUGUGUUUUCAUUUCUCUACGGUUUUACAGGGACACUGUUCUAGUACCUAUAUAAGAAAAUGGACACGCACACGCUUGCAUAGACGCACUUGCAUCCACACACGUACCUGCUUCUCAUCAUGAAGGGCAAAGCAAAGCUGCGGAUAAAUGUGCCGCAGGUGAGAUGGGAAUGCUGGAGGGAGAGAUGUUUUCAAUUGUCCUCUCCUGACACGGCUUGAAGAUCUAAUCUCAGGAAUGACACAGGAAUCUGAGAGUCUGCUACAAUGGCAGCGGCGGUGUGUGCUUCACAGGAGGGACUACAAGCCAUGCUCCACUCGUCCAUCUUUGGUGAUCAGAUCAUCGGUGGCGUUGUCGGCUGGAUACCCAGGCUACUAAGAAUGAGUCUUCAUAGGACAGUCAUACAGAGAACCCGGCCUACCUCGACUGCAGCCUAAGACUUGG